CCCAACAAAAUAAUUGCCAAAUAAAAUUACCAACAAUUAUAAAAAAUUAAUUAUCAAAAAAUAAUUACAAACCAAACGGAGAGAGUGAGAUGGAGAGAGACGAGGGAGACGAGGACCAGCAAGCAGCACCACCGAGCAGCGACCACCGAGUAGAUCUGGAGUAGUAGCGAGCGAGAGGGGAGAUGGAGACGAAGCUGCAGCUGGAGCGAGAGGGAAGACGGAGACGAAGCUGCUGCUGGAGUGAGAGGAAAAAUGAAGCGAGAGGGGAGACGGAGACCUAGUAAACCUGCUGCUGGAGUAAGAGGAAAAACGGAGUGAGAGGGGGAGAGGAGUGAGAGGAAACUCGGCCUCGAGUUGAGCUGAAGUAAUGGCUUAUGAUGAAUUACUCCUGCUGAUGUCGUUUCCUUUCUCUUGUGAUGAACUACUUCUGCUUGAGCAAUGAACAAAACAGUUCACGUGGAGAAAAUGAUGAGCAAAAGGGAAAGUGGAGUUCACGUGGGGAGAGAGCAAAAGGAGAAGUGGAGUGGAGUUUAAGUGGGGGUCAAAGUAAAAAGAGAAAAGAAAAAUGUGGGUCAUGUGGGGAAUGGCGAGAGAGCACUCGAAACGGCAGCACAAGCUACCGUUUCUGUCGGCAUUCUCUCGCCGUUCUCUACGUUUAGCAUUUCUUUCUCUUAUGCAUUUGACUGUGAAAAGUGGUGAUACAAUUGAAAGUGACGGUAACCACGUUAUCUGCUGGCCACCAUUCAGCGUUUUAAUCAUAACUCACGUUCUAGAAAUGCAAUUGCAAUGAUUCUUGAACGACUGGAUUCUGGAUAGCUGACUUAAUUUUCUAAAACUCUUGUCUUGGCCAUUUGUCCCAGAUGGAUCGUUUACAGCAUCAAAUAUGAGCUGGCCGUUGUCAUGAAGACAAGGAACUUACAAGUAUUCAUUCAUUGCAAACCACCUUUGCUUGCUAUAUAUAGAGACCUUAGUUAGAUGCUAAAUAACUUGUCAUCACUUUUAAUCUCUUUCCAUCUUCCCUUUGCAUCAUUUCCAUAUCUUGCUAAGCUCUUAGCUACGGCUAGGAGAGAAGCCCUUAAUCAAUUUUUGCAGCUAAACUCUCUUGAUCUUUUCUCUUUGUAGGGUUAGGAUGAGUUUGUAGUUUAAGAAGGGCUUGGUGUGUGAUGACUACUUUUACUAAUAUUACCAUAAAA
rnacentral:lncRNA from 1 species